UUCCUCCCCUUUCCGUGGAGAGACUAUCAACUCCAUCUGUCACAAAAAUUAAGGCUAAAUCUCCUCUCCAGAAACAGAGGGAGCCGGGGCUCCGACGCGCUCAGCGUCGGGCUGUCCGCCUCUCCCGAGAGGCCAAGUGAAUUUGAAACGGCAAAAGUCACAGCCGCAGGCCCAGCACUAGGAGAUUCCUCCGGCUGUGGGAAAUCCUCCUGUGCCUGCUGAGGCUGCUGCGGUCCUUAGAGGCGCUGGGUCGGCCGUGGGAAGCUGCACCUCUGCAGUACCAAAAUCAAACCUUAAAAGAGCCAGACUGAGAAGCCAGUCACCAUGUAAGACAUCUGAACCACCUUCAGACUGGCAUGCUAUGAGGAAGCCCAUGCUUACUAUGUGUAGAGGAUACAUGGAGAGGGAAGGAGAUCCCUGACCAGCUCCCUACUAUUUCAGCCAUGUGAGUGAAGCAGGCACCAGACUUGUGAGUGGAGACACUAUCUUGGAUGUCCAGCCCAAUUGAACCUUCAAGUGGCUCCAGCUCUAGCUGCCAUCCUACUUAAGGCACAUGAGAGAGACCCCAAGCCAGGAUCAAGAUCAGGGUGAAGCAAGUGAGGCAUUUUGCUGCAAAAUUUAAGGAGGCAUUGACCUUCAUAAUUGGGCUCCAAAGACUCCAAGAGUGAGUGUCUCCUUAAAUUUUGUACUUGAGACACUACACUCACCUUUCUGUAGUUCUGGUCUUGCCUCAAGCAAGAACAGCAGAGCUUAGCUCAGUCAACCCAAAUAAUCCUGAGAAAUAACAACAACAACAAAAAUGUUCUUUUAAGCCACUCAGUUUUGAGAUGGUUUGUUAGGCAACAAUAGAUCAUUAGAACUUUUCAUCCUGUCCAAUUGCUUAACUGAAAGAUGCUAGUAUCUGCCUGAAUUCUUCCCUUUCCUUCACAUUCCACAUUCAAUUAGUGGUUCAUCAUAGGUGUCAAUAAAAUAUUUAAUAAGUUGAA